CACCACACACUACGUACUACUGUUGGAAAAAUUGACAGACCUCUAACAUUUUUCUACCAAUAUGUGUGUGAAUUCAAUUAUUUGUUAGACAAUUCCACAUCCUUUCUUAGCCUAUAUAAGCAUCCAUCCAUUCCCCCCCGUUCAAUGAUAAGCCCAUCUAUCUCUCUUAAAUUUUUCCCUUAGCUAGGCAAAAUGAGCACAAGGCGUUGGCCGAGACAUGUAACAGUUAGGGGAAGGAAGAGAAGGGCGAAAGUUUGUUUGGCCAAUAAUAAUGCUGUGAAAGUGAAACCUUCCUUGCAAAGGAAGCUUAGGGAGCUUCAGGGAGCAGUUCCUGGGAGUGAGGUAAUGGACAUGCACAAUUUUUUCCAAAGCAUUGAACAAUACAUACUUCUACUUGAAGCUAAAGUCACUGUCCUAAGGUGUUUGUCCAAUUUGUAUGGAGUAUAAAAGGAGACUCCUAAACUCCUAAGCACCCAACCUAUUUAAAAACACCAUCUGGGUUCUAGAGAAAGGGUGAAGGUAAGGUUAACACCAUUACCGGGCUUCUUUCAAUGUUGGGGUGUGGAGGUUGUAUUUUAUUUAAAAAUUCAAUAAUCUAUAAUAAAAGUUAGGAGUACCUUUUAUCGCU